rnacentral:rRNA from 1 species
CAUCCUACGGGAGGCAGCAGUGGGGGAUAUUGCACAAUGGGGGAAAUCCUGAUGCAGCGACGCCGCGUGUGGGAAGACGGUCUUCUGGAUUGUAAACCACUGUCCCCAGGGACGAAAAUGACGGUACCUGGGGAGGAAGCUCCGGCUAACUACGUGCCAGCAGCCGCGGUAAUACGUAGGGAGCAAGCGUUGUCCGGAAUUACUGGGUGUAAAGGGAGCGCAGGCGGCACGGCAAGCCUGAUGUGAAAGCCCGCGGCCCAACCGCGGGACUGCAUUGGGAACUACCGGGCUGGAGUGCCGGGGGG